GUAAGAAGCGGCUGCCGGGAGUCCCGCUCGUCAUUCUGCGUUUCACGCCGCCACCGCCCGCGUCAGCCGAACCUCUGCGUCGUACCACGUAUGCUUCGGCACCGACUGUCUACGUUAGGCGCGGUGCCUACCACUUUACCGACUCCGAAACAGCCAUGGGUUCCGCCACUCACUUCUGCUGCAAGGCGUACUGCGAAGCUUUAAGUCGCGGCCACUUCACUCAAGACCUGCUGGACUUCUUUCUGCAAAUGCGGUUACGGGACUGCCUCUCUUGCUCCGGGAUUCUCGCACGGCCCGUUGGAGCUCCCGAAAUACGUAUGCGACGCACGGCAGCCAUUCCAUCUGUUCUCCCGCACGAGCUGUCGCGCCUUAGCCGUCGCUGCCGAUUAGUUUCAAGUCGCGUCUUCCGCGGUCUCUUCUUUUGUGCGCGUGUUCCCGCGGACGAACUGGAAGGGACAACGAAGCAGCUGUCGUCGUCAACUAACGUCCGAGGUGAAUCUCGUGCAACCAAGUGACCGUGACUCUACCUUGGGGGACAACGGAACAACCGUCGUCGCUGCGUGGCUUCGGCAUCUAACCCACGAGGUGGGAAAGUGUGUGUGCGUGCGUAUAGUGUGCGAGGGCUGUGCGGCUAUUAACUUUAUCAAAAAAACUGAUUGACAAUAUUGGCAAAAUAGGUGCAGUUAACUGUGGUGCUUCGUUAAGCACGAGUUUCCUAGGACGGCCGCAGCCACAUCGGGUCGUCGCCGUGACGGAAGCGGAGAGGACGGGGUGGGGCGAUUGUAGCUUCAGGCUCGGCUAACACUAGGAAGGUAGCUGGCCCUGCGCGUAGGCAACAGCUGGCAGGAAUCCUCUCUCUCGCUUGCGACACGGAUGUCGGCCCGUUCCGGUUGCCAUUGCUUCCCGGCCACCAUUUCGCGACCACGCGCGCGAAAGGGCGCGAAAUGUUGAACCGCGGAAGCAGAUGGCAUCCGGAAAUUGAGUGUGUGGGAUAACCAGUGGCGUAUUCCAGAUCAUCACUGAAGAAUGGACGUUGCCUUCGGUCCGCAGCGCGGCGCGUUGCGGCCAAAGUAUGUGGAUGAUUUUUGUUCUCUAUUCUUUGUGCUGCGCUGUGGUUUUGUCGCUCGACGCGCCGACCAUGUUUGACGAGUUCAUCGAUCACGCCUCGCGCGACGACGCCUGUCACGGUGAGUACCUACUUUCUGUUUCUAUUCAUUAUUCGAGAAGUUCCCCCUUUUCAAUUUCAGAUACGUAACCUAGGCCUUUGCGUAUGGCACACUCCAACAGCGUCCAGAGCACACGUCAGUGUCCCAGACGGACGACGUUCAGCGCUUGUCGUGCAUCAGCUGACUGUCUGUGCACUUACGCUCCAGCCUCACGGCUACUAGUUUCCUGGCGAAUGAAGGUGCCUGCCCUGCAGUACGUCGACUGCCCACUCGGCCAUCAGUCACGUCCGACGGAGUGUCCUGCGCCCUGCGGUCUCCCAGAUGGAUGACGUUCAGCGCCUCUUCGAGCGCGGCUGACCGUCCGUGCACUUCUGCUCCAGCCUCGCAGCUCCUGGUUUCCUGGCCAGUGAAGAUGCCUGAACAACCUGCCCCGCAGAACGUCGACUGAUCCUUUGGCCAUGAGUCAUGUGCGGUGGAGUUUCCUGCGCCCUGCCGUCUCCCAGAUGGAUGAGGUUCAGCGCCUCUUCGACCGCGGCUGACCGUCCGUGCACUUCUGCUCCAGCCUCGCAGCUACUGGUUUCCUGGCGGAUUAAGAUGCCUGUACUACCUGCCCUGCACCAGCAACCCUUGCCUUGACAUCCACCGCCCGUCAAGAUCUGCCCAGCCGGCGUAUAUAGGCCUAGUGCUGACCGUAAUGAGAUGGGCCUUGCUCUCGUGACAUUUCAUGACAUUGCUACGACCGUUGACGUUGAGCUGCGGGAAAAGUCCCUUUCUGCGUGCUGCCUUGACGAUGCUGCAAGGCUGUGGAGACGUGACGGCGACCGACGACGACGACAGCCCUGUAACAGUUCCUUCCACACGGUUGCUGUGUCAUAGUAGUUCGAUAUACACUCGUAUUGAGUCCAUGGCUGUUUCACGAGUGCACCAAAACGAUUUCAAGUAACUAUGCUGGCUCAUAUUCAAUACACUACUCAGGGUCUAGCGUUAGUUUGAUCUGGGGUUUCAUGCACGUUAAUUCACAUUCUGUGCUCUCGUUAUGGUACGCUGAUGCUGGUUCGCAUUGCGAAGUUGCGCGCGUAUGUGUUCGUGUGAGCAUGCUUGUGUGUGCGUUGCUGCAUGUAUGCUGUCUAUUUGUUAUACGCGCGUGCGACAUAGCUCAUUCCAUCUGGUUGGUGGCUUGAUUUCCGCUGGGGGUCCGUUUUCUCUUCCAUUGAAUCUUUGCUGGCUGGCCUCGUUUAUCAGGUGAUUUCCUUCGGAAAGCUCGUUGGCGGUUCUGCAGUGAUGGUCGCAAAUCUUUUCAGCAAAACAUUAGGACUGGGCAUUCCCCUUACCUAAAGGGUGUCCGGCCAUCCACUCGCAUAUUUGUCUGGACCUUCCAUUAUCAAAUUGUUUUGUACUCGAUGGGGUCUCUGUUGGUAUCUUUUGCUUAUCCACAUUGUCCUUGUUUGUCCAGUGAUUCAUCAUGGCUAAUGCGAAACAUCAGCGUACCAUUACAAAAAGCAUAUUGUGUGAAUUAAAGGCAAUAAAACAUCCUCGUUAAUUUGUGAAAA